UACCAGCACCCCGAGUGGUCGGGACGAUUAUUGGGCCUAAAGCAUCCGUAGCCGGUUUUACAAGUCCUCCGUUAAAUCCAGCUGCUUAACAGAUGGGCUGCGGAGGAUACUAUAGAGCUAGGAGGCGGGAGAGGCAAGCGGUACUUAGUGGGUAGGGGUAAAAUCCGUUGAUCCAUUGAAGACCACCAGUGGCGAAGGCGGCUUGCCAGAACGCACUCGACGGUGAGGGAUGAAAGCUGGGGGAGCAAACCGG
rnacentral:rRNA from 1 species